rnacentral:rRNA from 1 species
CUACGGGCCGCUCCAGUGGGGAAUAUUGCACAAUGGAGGAAACUCUGAUGCAGCAACGCCGCGUGGAGGAUGACACUUUUCGGAGCGUAAACUCCUUUUAUAUAGGAAGAAGAUGACGGUACUAUAUGAAUAAGCGCCGGCCAACUCCGUGCCAGCAGCCGCGGUAAUACGGAGGGCGCAAGCGUUACUCGGAAUCACUGGGCGUAAGGAGCGUGUAGGCGGAUUAAAAAGUCAGAAGUGAAAUCCUAUAGCUUAACUAUAGAACUGCUUCUGAAACUCUUAAUCUAGAAUAUGGGAGAGGUAGAUGGAAUUUCUGGUGUAGGGGUAAAAUCCGUAGAGAUCAGAAGGAAUACCGAUUGCGAAGGCGAUCUACUAGAACAAUAUUGACGCUGAGACGCGAAAGCGUGGGGAGCAAACAGGAUUAGAUACCCCCGUAGUC